GAUGAACGCUGACAGAAUGCUUAACACAUGCAAGUCAACUUGAACUUCGGUUUGGGUGGCGGACGGGUGAGUAACGCGUAAAGAACUUGCCUCACAGAUAGGGACAACAUUUGGAAACGAAUGCUAAUACCUGAUAUUAUGAUUAUAUGGCAUCGUAUAAUUAUGAAAGCUAUCUGCGCUGUGAGAGAGCUUUGCGUCCCAUUAGCUAGUUGGAGAGGUAACGGCUCACCAAGGCGAUGAUGGGUAGCCGGCCUGAGAGGGUGAUCGGCCACAAGGGGACUGAGACACGGCCCUUACUCCUACGGGAGGCAGCAGUGGGGAAUAUUGGACAAUGGACCAAGAGUCUGAUCCAGCAAUUCUGUGUGCACGAUGAAGUUUUUCGGAAUGUAAAGUGCUUUCAGUUGGGAAGAAAAAAAUGACGGUACCAACAGAAGAAGUGACGGCUAAAUACGUG
rnacentral:rRNA from 1 species